UACGGAGGAUGCAAGCGUUAUCCGGAUUGAUUGGGCGUAAAGCGUCUGUAGGUGGUUACGCUAGUCGGCUGUUAAAGAUCAGGGCUGAACCCUGAGCGAGCAGUCGAAACUGCGUGGCUGGAGUACGGUAGGGGCAGAGGGAAUUUCCGGUGGAGCGGUGAAAUGCGUAGAGAUCGGAAAGAACACCAAUGGCGAAAGCACUCUGCUGGGCCGACACUGACACUGAGAGACGAAAGCUAGGGGAGCGAAUGGG
rnacentral:rRNA from 1 species